rnacentral:tRNA from 2 species
GGGUCGUUAGCUCAGUUGGUAGAGCAGUUGACUUUUAAUCAAUUGGUCGCUGGUUCGAAUCCUGCACGACCCACCA